UACAGAGGUCUCAAGCGUUGUUCGGAUUCAUUGGGCGUAAAGGGUGCGUAGGUGGCGCUGUAAGUCAGGUGUGAAAUUUCGGAGCUUAACUCCGAAACUGCAUUUGAUACUGCGGUGCUUGAGGACUGGAGAGGAGACUGGAAUUCACGGUGUAGCAGUGAAAUGCGUAGAGAUUGUGAGGAAGACCAGUGGCGAAGGCGGGUCUCUGGACAGUUCCUGACACUGAGGCACGAAGGCCAGGGGAGCAAACGGG
rnacentral:rRNA from 1 species